AUUGAACGCUGGCGGCAUGCCUUACACAUGCAAGUCGAACGGCAGCGGGGACUUCGGUCCGCCGGCGAGUGGCGAACGGGUGAGUAAAGUAUCGGAACGUACCUUUCAGUGGGGGAUAACUGUCCGAAAGGACAGCUAAUACCGCAUAUUCUGUGAGCAGGAAAGCAGGGGAUCGCAAGACCUUGCGCUGAUUGAGCGGCCGAUAUCAGAUUAGCUAGUUGGUGAGGUAAAGGCUCACCAAGGCGACGAUCUGUAGCGGGUCUGAGAGGAUGAUCCGCCACACUGGAACUGAGACACGGUCCAGACUCCUACGGGAGGCAGCAGUGGGGAAUUUUGGACAAUGGGGGCAACCCUGAUCCAGCCAUGCCGCGUGAGUGAAGAAGGCCUCGGUUGUAAGACUCUUUCGUCCGGAGGAAAGUACGCAUCAGCUAAUACCUA
rnacentral:rRNA from 1 species